AACGAACGCUGGCGGCAGGCCUAACACAUGCAAGUCGAGCGAGGACUUCGGUUCUAGCGGCGGACGGGUGAGUAACGCGUGGGAAUGUGCCCUUCUCUACGGCAUAGCCCUGGGAAACUGGGAGUAAUACCGUAUACGCCCUUUUGGGGAAAGAUUUAUCGGAGAAGGAUCUGCCCGCGUUGGAUUCGGUAGUUGGUAGGGUAAUGGCCUACCAAGCCGACGAUCCAUAGCUGGUUUGAGAGGAUGAUCAGCCACACUGGGACUGAGACACGGCCCAGACUCCUACGGGAGGCAGCAGUGGGGAAUCGUAGACAAUGGGGGCAACCCUGAUCUAGCCAUGCCGCGUGAGUGAUGAAGGCCUUAGGGUUGUAAAGCGCUUUCAGCUGGGAAGAUAAUGACGGUACCAGCAGAAGAAGCCCCGGCUAACUCCGUG
rnacentral:rRNA from 1 species